CUUGGCAUUUUGGUAAAUAAUGCAGGAGCUUCAGGAGUUGUAGUUGAUGAAGUUGGCCUAUGGGCCUUAAACGUAGAUCCUGCAAACUGGGGAAGCCUGUUAACGUUGUACAAGACGUUAUCAAAACUGUUCCACUCGUUCAAUGUUCGACUUCAGGAGCAAGGAUAGUUACUAUCUCUU